rnacentral:rRNA from 1 species
GCCGCCGGUAGAUACUGUCAGUACUAGAGUUUAUUGAAUGUAGGCGGAAUGUAGCAAGUAGCGGAGAAAUGCUUAGAGAUGUUACAGAACACACAUAGCGAAGGCAGCUUAGGAAGAUAUAAAUGACGCUCAUGCAGGAAAGCGUGGAGAUCAAACAGGAUUAGCUACCUUGGUAGUCCCACGCUGUACACGAUGAUAACUGGGAUUAGUCGAUACACAGUCAGAGGAUGAGAGAAAUCAAUAAGUUAUCUACGUGGUGAGUACGACGGCAACGUUGACACUCAAGAGAAUCGACGGAGUCCAGCACAAGCGGAGGAGCAUGUGGUUUAAUUGGAUGAUACGCGAGGAACGUUACCCGCGCUUAAAUGGCAGAUGCUGUAUGUGGAAAGGCAUAUUUCUACGGACAUCUGUGAAGGUGCUGCAUGGUUGUCGUCAGCCCGUUCCGUGAGGUGUCGGGUUAAGUCCCAUAACGAGCGCAACCAUCAUAAUCAGUUACCAGCGUGUAGAGGCGGGGACUCUGGAUAGACUGCCUACGCAAGUAGAGAGGAAGGUGGGGAAGACGUCAAAUCAGCAAGGCCAUCACGUCCGGGGUUUCACACGUGACGCAAUGGUGACUACAAAGAGGAGAGAACUCGCAAGGGCAAGGGGAUCUCAAAAAUGUCAUCCCAGUUUGGAUUGUGGGAUGCAACCCGC